rnacentral:rRNA from 1 species
UACGUAGGGUGCAAGCGUUAAUCGGAAUUACUGGGCGUAAAGCGUGCGCAGGCGGUGAUGUAAGACCGAUGUGAAAUCCCCGGGCUUAACCUGGGAACUGCAUUGGUGACUGCAUUGCUAGAGUAUGGCAGAGGGGGGGUGGAAUUCCACGUGUAGCAGUGAAAUGCGUAGAGAUGUGGAGGAACACCGAUGGCGAAGGCAGCCCCCUGGGCCAAUACUGGACGCUCAUGCACGAAAGCGUGGGGAGCAAACAGGG